GUGGGUGUAGGAAGAUAACCAGUGAGGUGAUCUGGCACUGAUGAGGUGUAGCACUGCCCAGGCCACACUGCAGCAUCGGGACAGAGAAUUCAGGAUUUGCUGGCAACCUGUUUCUGAGUGUUCCGAUCUCUGAAGUGUGUUUUGAGUCGGGAGGAUCACAGCUGAAAUCUCAUUAGCAAAUAAUAGGCCUAGUGUGCAGAAAUCUACCUCACUGCCACUUCUGGUCAGCAGGGUUGAAAAUGCAUUCUUGUUUUGCAAGUGUGAACACAGUGUCGCUGCCCUGGUUUACAAGUGACAGUGGAAAGAGCUGUGAUACACAACGGCAAGGGGGAUUUUAGCAUGUUUACAGGAGGAACUUACACAGUUCUUCUGCUGGUGUUGCUAGAGAACUUCAGUUUUUGAGGCAUACAGAAAGGGCUGUUUACAACUGGGAUUUGAAAGGUACGUAUACCUGUUAAUAAGGCAUCAGGUUUCAUUUAGCUGCAGAAAGGUUGAUCAGUGGAAAAAGUACUUUUCUUAGGUGUCGUUUUCCCCCACGAAUUUGGGUGUCUUAAUACCCUCUGUCCCUGCCAUACUGCUAAGUGGUUCUAAAUCAGUAAUGGUCCUCAAAUCUGAGAGCUUGCAGGGUGAGGACAUCGCUACUAGCAACAGAUGAAAAAUGGAGUAAUGCAGUGGUAUGCCAUCCUGCCCCAAAUUAAAUAUUUCCACCUUCAAAAGCAGAGCCCUACUCUCCAAAUUUUAAAAAAACCUUGCAAAGUGCUGUUGUGCAGCAGGCAGGGGCAGAUUUGCGGGAAGGGAAGCUGUACAGCCAUGGGAUUGCAUCCUGUUAGAUAUGGGAUUUUCUGGCCUUGCAAGCCUCCUGGUCCUCUGUCCUUGGGUAAGGUACAGCGCUAGAAGACGGAUAUCAGGAGUGCCAUUAGCUCCAGGUAGGCUUUCCUUGAGCUGACUGAGCAGAAGGGGACUCUGCAGACACUGAGAUUACCAGAACAAUUCUGAUUGCAAGGAAGGGGAAGACUUUGAUUUAUGCAUUAGUAGGAUCUGUCCAAUCCUUGGUCUGCCUUGUUUUCUUACUUUCUGUCUGCGUUGCUUAUUUUUGUCUCCCUGGGUGCUUCUCCCAAGACUUCUCAGCUUGUUGGUGUUUAAUCUUCUCGAUUUGUCUCCGGCCCCACUCUCUCUAAUCUCUGCAGGUCACUGUGCAGUUUGCACGUUUGGUUCUCUUUGGCUGUUUGCUGCCAUCAGCACAUCUGAUCGUGGCUGAGUUUACAUCAAAGGAACACCUGACAAAGGAGCAGGCCUGAUAAUAGGCUCCAGUUUCUUCUCAGCAGCCCAAACAGGUGGAGGCGGGUGAGGGAACGCUGGCAGGACCACAAGGGAGUUCAUGCUCCACUUUCAACACGCCUUGCUUUUCCCUCCUGCCUGACGGAGCACUGCAGAACCUGCUGCUGCUCCUCUAAGUUCCCUAAAAAUAGAGCUGCCCCUGGAAAAGAGGAAAGCAAGACAGAGGUAGGCCUUGCUCUUCUCCUGCAAAACAAACCCACAGGUGAGAAACUAAUUAACUAGGAAGGGGGGAGGAAAAGGCUCUCCUGCAGUUGCUGUUGUAGCUGCAGAAGUGCAGCUCGUGAGUUAUAGGUGUCUUUUCCCUGCAGCAAGAGCUGGCUCAAAUGCCAGGGUCAGGAGAGAUGCUACAGUCGCAGUGUGAUUGUUUGCUGCCUCUUUGGAGCUGGCCAGAGAAGAGGCCGAUGAACCCAAGGCUGGAUUCUCUAGCAAAACACUUCACCUGAAGUGUUGAAGGAUAAGGAUUUGCAUUUGCUUUUGUUCAUAUAAUUUAUGCUGCCCAGACCAUUUUCCCUGUAGAGAGUUUGCUGUUAGGAGCCCAUUUUAUAUAACUACAAUACACAGUUACAUGUGAUUAGACACACAGACACGAUGAUUGAUACAGAGAAACAUUUCCUGCAGUUGGGAUUAUCCUGAGAGGUGCUGGAUGCUAUUUGAGUUGGUGCCAGGGUCCAGGAUAGAUGUGUCUCAUGAGUGCAGUGCCCGGAGUUUUCCAGCAUGUGGGAGCUGCUCAUCUUUGGUGCUGCAGUGGUGGUUUGGGUGCCCUUUGUCCUCUGCUGGAAGGAAAACCAGUGGCACCACAUCCCAUCUCCUGUAGGUUUCACCUGGCAGUGUUGAGCCCCUGGUAUUCUCAGGGCCUAAGUUCUCCAAGAAAUAUGUGAAUCUCUGGGCUCUGACCCAUCCUGGCCAUAUUUGCAUGUGCUCACCCUGGACUUGGAGACAUCUGACAAGGGGAAAGCUCAGCUUCCAGAAGGCUGUGGAGGGGAGAUUUGGAACAAGAGGAUGUCUUUGUUCCUCUGGUGCAGCACAGGAGAUGUGAAACCUGGGGUAAGUGCAAGGGGCAGGAAUAUGUGUACCAGGAGCUCCCUGCAGCUUGUCUUUUCCAGGGACGUGGCCAAGGACUGCAGAGGUCCUGGGUGCAGGAACUCCCAACUCCCCAUGCUCUUCUGCACAGAACCAAGCUUUCUUAUUUAAUUUAGCUCAGGCUGGGGAGGCACUCUGUAAAACCUGCUGUAACCUGGAGUGGGGAAAGGAUGAGAUCCUGUUGUCCUUGGCUGAAGGACAGAAGUGGUGACUGGAGCUAUCUGGUGCUGGAGCUCCCUGAGCUUCCUCUCUGAGUGUACUGAGCUAAAAGCAACAUCCCCCUUGGAGGGAUUUUCAGCUCCUUUCAUUCCAGGCAGGCUUGGACAUGACUGGUUUCUCCCUGGUGUGAGUGCUGUUUCCCAGGAGAGCUGAGGAUGGACAAUCAGGACAGCCCUUCCCACCUCACCUGCUAGAUAUACCGUGGCCUGGGGGACCAGAGGUGCUGUGCUGCCCAGCUCUGACCUCUAGCCCUGCUGUGCUGAGAGCCAGCUCUUCGGGGAUUAAAGGUGCUAUUUAAACAAAAUAAUAAUAAUAACACUGCAGGCAGGUUUGAUUUAUUAUGUAGGAACUGUAGUAUUCAAAUGAGCUCAUGAUAAAUGGAAGUAUUGGCUUAUUAAAUGUUGCUUUGGACUUCGCCCUUGGGAAGGCAAAGUAGUGGUGUAGUGGUGAUUUGAGUAGUGAUUUUCAUAGUGUAGUGGUGAUUUGAGAUGGUCCAAGUUCUUCUUUGGGUGGUGGUGGUUUGUUUUUCUACCUUCCAAGGAUUUCUCUGGGUUUAAAUCCACUUUCAGCUGUGGUCUGUUAAAACAAUUUCCAGCAAACUGUCACUGCCUGUCCUUGUCUGUUUAUGACAUGAAAACCACAUCUAUUUUGUUUUCUACUGUUUUAAACCCAGGCUUGGGUGUGAUAUUUGGAAUAUCUGCUCUUUGCUUUCUGCUGUUUUCACUGAGGAGUGUGGUGGGAUGUCUGGAAGCUGUGAAUUAUGAAGGCGAGCUGUGCUACAGCCCAGCUUAAUUUAAAAGUACAGCACUUAGAAAAACACAGUGCUUUGCUCCCACUUCUUCCCUGGCACGUGAAGCCAUUGUAUUCUGAAUGAAAGCAUGGAUAAAUCUGGAUAAAUCCCAUCUCUUUUUCUCGUCCCACGUGUAGGGCACUGUUCCUGUCCCAGCUGGCCAGGCUCUGUUCCCCAAAGCAUCAGAACCAUCCUGCAGCCAGCAAACUCAAAUAUUAAACUUCCAGCAAAAGGCAAAACAGGAGAGGGGUGAGGCCAUCCCACUUGUACUCUCUGGAAGUGCAUAUGGAUGGAUGCCUUUCCUCCCUCUCUAUCCCAAGAGUUUAACUCCUGGCUGCCCAGGAUCUUACGUUUGCAGCCAUAGAGUGGAUGCACCUGCAGAGCACAAGUAAGCAGAGGCUUCAAAUGAGACAAAUCAGGAAGUGAAAUGAGAAUCUCACCGUGGCAUGGCAUUAAAUCCUGGAUUUGCAUUAGACUGAGUGGAAAGUCAGGAACCUGCAUCCCAAGAUUAAAAAUAGCACUGAACAGCGCGAACGCCACUAAUUGUGGGUUUGCAGGAGAAAGGCAGAAACACGCUGAAAAGUUGGCUCACAAUGGCAGUUGUUGCAUCCUAAUCUCCUGGUUCCUUUCUUGCCUUGCUAAUAAGAAGUAAGACUAAUUUAAUUUUCACAACAUCCCAAAUCUGGGGCUCUGUGAUUCAGAGACUUAAUAAGAUUCUCUUGCCGAGCCAAGAAAAGCUUAGUGGUUUUGAGCUUACUUUCUGCUGGGUUUCACUUUCGGGACAUUUGUGCAGUGGUUUGGGUUUUUUUUGUAAAAAAAAAAAAAAAAGAACUUGUAUUCCAUCAGGAUUACUGUUGUCUCUGUUUAAGUUAUUAUAUGUGUAAAUUGGUUGAGCUGGAGCUGGCUAAAAUCUUGAAUGAGAAAAGGCAAAUUUUGGCAAAACGAAAACAUUUUAUGAGUUGUUUUGAUUUGCCACACUUUUUUUUUCUUUUUUUUUUUUUGUCGUCUGGAGAGAAAAGAAACAAACCUAUUUUGUUUCAGCCUUCUCCAAAUAAAAGGCUUUGAGAUUUUCCUCUUUGAAGCAACUUUUCAUUUAGAAUGAUCUUCGGCGCUGACUUUUGUUAAAGGGCUGAAGAGUCAAAGUGGAACAUUUGUUUCAGUCGACCCCAAAUGAAUUUUUUUUUUGAGAGGGAGUUUUUUCAGGAUUGCCAGCGGACCGAAAAAUCAGUUAUUCACCCAGCUUUAUAUCCCAUAUACUGAUAGAAACUUCAGAGCCCCGCCGUGACUGUUUAUGUGGUGCAGCUGCCCCUAAGCCCUCCGUUUAUAUGUUGGGAAAUUAUUCUGCUUCUCAGGGUUGCCUGGGACAGUAAACCUUGAGUAAGCGCCUGGUUUUUCUCCCUUGGUUUAAUAAGGAGGCAAUUUUUUACGAAGUUAUGUUUUCUAACUCUUCUUUUGCAUGGCAGGUAUUACCUUUGCCGGCUGAGGUACAGUUGCAGGACCUGUUUUAUGCUAAGGGCAAUACUUGGCUGUGUGAGGAGCAGGCAUCGCAUUAGGAGAUGGGUUUAGAGCAGCAGAGUUGCGCUUGGCUCUGGGGAUAACUGUACUUCAAAAAGAUGAGUGCAAUAAUCAAGAAAAGUCCCUAAUUUCAGGGUUAACCACAGUCAAAACCCACAUUUAAAAAGCGCUCUUCUUAUGGUUACUCUGGGUGAUAAAUUAUGUAUUACAUGAAGCCAUUGGAUUGUUUUAACUCUUCGUCAGGGUACCUUUCCCUGUAUAGAGAGUUAUCUGCAGAUGGCACAGGGCAUUCUGGAACAACAGAGACAAGUUUGCCUGUUUUACUGAAACUGGUGGAAAAAAGUUUAGAUCAAUUGCUCUAGAACAGACACCAUGACCAGAAAUUGUUGGUCCUGGAUUGCAAGUCUGCUGGAGAGAAAGGAGUUGGGCCGAAGGGGUUUGUUCCUGCUGUUUAUCUUAAAUCUUAAUUUAAGCUUAAAUCUUGAUGCCUCUCACUUGGAGCAUUGGAGCAUUUAGAGCAGCACAAGAAAACAGGCUCUAUGUGCGAAUGUUCCUGAGGUUGCAGUUUUCCCUUUGUGCCACUGUCCCACUGAGCCCUUCCCAGCCAGCUGGGUGUGUUUUGGCACCCAGACAUGGUGCCAGAGCCGGUUUUGCCUUGGCAGAGGUGCUGGGCAGGCUGGAGUGACCAUGCCUGCUCUGAGCCAAGCUAGGAUUUCCUGGAGAGGACUAUUCUUUAUUUUUAAAUCAGAUUUUUUUUUUACCAUCACCUUCGGAGAGCACCGACCCUGCCUUGGGUCAAGGCAUGAAAUGAAGUUAGUUGGAGCCAGGUAGAUUUGCUGUCCCCCAGGAGCAGUGCAUGGACUAUGGGGAAGGUUGGUUUUUCUCCCAUCCCUUCUGAGGACAUUUCAGUUUGGCAAGUCCAGUGCCCUUGGAGCCCUUCUCCUUCCCCAGCCUCGUUCUCUUCACCCCAUGCACCUCUGCUCCCCACGGGGACCUGCCUGGAGGGAGCGGCUGCGUGGCGGCUGAGCCGGCAGGAAGGUCGUGGCACGGGACGUGGGAGAGGAGGCAGGAGUAAGAGUUUCUGGCAGGAGGGAGCAAGCUGGGACUUGCCAUCUUUCCAAGCUCAUCACCAGGGCCAACUUGAAGAGUUGUCCCUCCUGCCCAGCACGUUUCUCUCCCUUUUUCCCCCACUCCUUUGCCUGGGAUGACAGUCCUGGGUUGUCUUUGCUUUCGUGUGUGGGACUUCAAACUCGUUGAACCAAUUCAUAGUGGAUGAUUCACUGGACACGUUUUGGCCCUCAUUUUGUUCCUACAGUGUCUGUCAGCAGCUUGCAGUUCUUAGAGCUGUGCUAUAGCUGCCAUUCUGCAUCACUGCCAUCCCCAGAGCCCCCAACACACACCAGGGAUGUACAAAUCAUCAUCAUGCUCCUUCCUGCAAUCAGUUCUGGGUGUCCUGCUGAUCCCUGACCCGUUAAGUCAAGGCUUUUCAAUGGCCUAGUUUGAGUGGCAGAGGUGAUUAGAUGAUUUUAUUUAUUUUUUUGGUUGGAUUGGAGUUGGACUGGACAAAGGAAACCAUCCAGAAUUCAGUUUGUAGUAGGUAAUAAGCCAUGAGACUGGUGAGGCCACGCAGUUUUUGGAGUAACCUGUAGCAAUAGAGGUACACUAAGCAGUUCUCUGCUUAGAACUUCUGCUCUAUUUGAGGCUGUUGCCAAGUGUGUGUGUGUGGGGGGAGUGUCAUCUCAACGAGGGUGGCCUCACUGCCAGCAUCGCUUCUGCCAGAGCUGUCGCCUGCAUCUGCAGAGCAAACUGCAAGCUCAGCUCUUCCCCAGCUCCCCUGCCUUAUUCCUUCCCUGAAUCCUUUUCCUUUCCAAGGUGGGAGCAGCCUGGCUCCCAGAGCAGCACAAUCCAGUUCUCCCUCCCUGGCUGAGGCAGCUGUGAGUCACUGUGCUCACGAGGUUCGUCAGCGGGAGGAACUGGUCCGAGGAACGUGACGGUGAUGCCGCUGGAGCGCGGCCAGCUCGGGUCUGUGCCCGUGGUGUUCCCUGUGGCACAGCGUCCGACAGCUGGAGACAGAGCAGCUUCUGUAUGUGGAGACCACUCGCAUCCACAGUGAUUGCUCCAGAGAGUGGCUUUCCUGUCGCGCUGUUCCAGUUGGCUGCAAGGAAGGUGCCCGAUCGAUGCACUUAUAGACAACGCUGCUCAAGGCUGCUCCUUCAAGAGGGACGUUCCCCUUCCUUUGCCUGCAGGGCUGUGGGAUCCUGCUGGACUCCAGAGGGACCUGUGGUGCCCGAGGACUGGCUGGUUGGAUGCACAGAGCACCGUGAGUGGGUUGGAUUUGGGCAGGCAAACCCUCUGCCUGGCCCUACCUCCUGGCAACGAGGUGGUGUCAGCUCUGGCACAACUUCUGGGGCUGGAGGUACCAUCCUGCUGCCUACUCCAGUUGUCCAGCCCCAGGGAUUUCCGCUGGGCCUCCCAAGGGUGUUUAAAAUAAAAAAAAAAAAUACAAAAAAAAAAAAUCACCUUUUUCAACCUUUUCUCAGCCAGCAUGAUGGAGGUGAUUGCAUUUGCUCUUGUAGCGUGCCAAGGGAGGCCCCCUUCAGGAAGCUGAUGGGGGUAGGAGCCUGAUUAGGACUAAUUUUGAACUUAAAACUGUCCCUCCUCCAUACCUUUUUUGCAUAUUUCAAACAACCAGACCCAUAUUAGAAAAAGAGUGUAGGGAAAAAAUAAUCCUGUGAUCCAUGCAUAUCCUGACUGGAACUCAGUUCAUUCUUUCUGAAUCUGGCUCCCAUACCCUUUUUCAUACAGAUUUACAUUCCUACAAGAGGAUACAUUCCUACCAUACAUUCUGUACAUGUUACAAUCCAGAUGUUGUUAGCUUCACAAUAAAAUAAAUAUAUUUACAGAAGAAAAAAAAAAGAAUAAAUAAUUUAUGAAAAAAAUCACUUCAAAUCCAAAGCUCUUUUAUUCUGCUCCCAUCUUGUCACUUCAUUGCACGUUAAUGUCUAUCUCCAUCCCUGGUGUAGGUCUCAGAGAAAUUCCAUGCAUGGCUGCUGACAGGACCACGGCAAAGGCCAAACUAGAGCCAGCCAGUGACUGUGCAGGGAGAAAGUCACAGCCAAGCCCUUCCUGUCCUGGCCUGCACCAGCCUUCCCAACCUUUUGCUGAGUCUCAUAAGUCUCAAGUAUGCUUCUGUCCUAUGGGAUUCCUGUAAGGAUUCUGCCACAGGACAUGUGCUUCAGCACCAAGGAGCCACAGACAUCGUCCAAGUGGUGAAGUGGAUUCAGAGCUUUGUGGAUACAAAACCUUCAACUAACCCCAC